UACGAAGGGUGCAAGCGUUACUCGGAAUUACUGGGCGUAAAGCGUGCGUAGGUGGUUUGUUAAGUCUGUUGUGAAAGCCCCGGGCUCAACCUGGGAAUGGCAAUGGAUACUGGCAAGCUAGAGUGCGGUAGAGGGUAGUGGAAUUCCCGGUGUAGCGGUGAAAUGCGUAGAGAUCGGGAGGAACACCAGUGGCGAAGGCGGCUACCUGGACCAGCCACUGACACUGAGGCACGAAAGCGUGGGUAGCAAACAGG
rnacentral:rRNA from 1 species